UGGGGUCUUGCCAAUGCGCAUGCGCGAGGCAGGAGCGGGUCCUCGGGUUGUUGCCCAGGUGAUCCGUUCCUGAGACGUCACAAAAAAGGAGCCACCUGUGGCCGUGUCAGGAACCCGGCUCAGGCAACCCCUCGCUGGAUAUUUGCUGAAGGUUAGCCAGGAGGAAGAAAGUUCGGGUGGAGGGAGCGUCGGGGAAAUAGCUUGGAAUCCCAGUCUCAGGCCUGCGCCAAGAGGGUACAGUUUGCAGAUACCAGACCGGCAGAGGGAAAGUGCAGCUAGUGGCCUCAAGCUGCCCCUUAGGAGACCGAAGGCUAUAGCGGGAUUCAUAAAGUCUUUGAUCAGUCAGAUCCAGGCAAAGGAAGGCCUCAGAGAAAUCCUGGCUGCCUCAGUGCCGAUUUGGCCUACAGAUACAAAUCUCACCCAAAAAAGACAGCAUUCAAGCUUACUUCUGUUUGCAGGCCCUCUGAACAGCUAUCUCAAAAUAUGCCAAAGCAGUAUAUGUGACUAUGAAAUAUUUUAAUUUUCCUUAUUGGAAUUUCUUACCUAUGAGAGCAUAAUAAAAAUUUUAUCCAUUAUGAUUGAAGCCCUAUCUUCUACAUCAACUGCGAAUGAAAACUCUCUUUACCCUUUGAGCAAGGGAUAUCUGUCAUGCUCCUUUAAAAAUACUGCCCACAUAUAAAAUUCAUACAAAAAUACUGCCCACAUAUAAAAUUCAUACAUUUAAAGCUAUGCUUGAUGAAUUUCGGUAAUUGUAUACCAUUCUGUAAGCAUCACUAUAGUCCAAACUCAUUUUAAAAGUAUUCUCCAUCCCUUUGUAUCUCCCCUGAAAAUCACGGAUCUAUUUGAUGUUACUAUAGAUUUGUAUCUCCUAGUGAUUAUUUGACUUUUUUACCUUAGCGUAAUGUUUCUGAGAUGCAUUCAUGUUGUUGAGUGUGUAGGUUCACUGAAAAAUCAACUCUCAAAAGGUAUAUUGAUUGUAGAAAAGAUGUGUAAAUUUAUUUAAUGUGCAUACAGGGGAACCUUCAGAAUAAAGACCCAAACACACGGGGGAAAUUAUCCAUUUUUAUGCUUAGGUUCAACAAAGUAUGUACAACCACGUAGAAAUAGGACUGGAGAAAGGGGUAUGAUCUAAUGUUAAUAGAUAGAGUAGGGAAACCCAGCAAGGCCUGUCUGUCUCGAUUCUUCUUGGCCUUUCUGAGCAUACAUUUCUUCCUUCUGGGUGUGUGGCAGGACCCUCUCUGGAAGAGCGGUCUUAGGAUCCAUAGUCAAACAGGGUAAGCCAGGUAAUUUCUUUACAGCAGUUUUUAUGUAGAGUACUUCUAGGUUUUCUGGCUUUUACAAAAAGGGGUUCUAGUUUCCUGGACUUGCUUUGGGGAAAAGAAAUUCUGGUUUCAGGCUGGGCGCGGUGGCUCAAGCCUGUAAUCCCAGCACUUUGGGAGGCUGAGGCGGGUGGAUCACGAGGUCAAGAGAUCGAGACCAUCCUGGUCAACAUGGUGAAACCCCGUCUCUACUAAAGAUACAAAAAAUUAGCUGGGCAUGGUGGCCCGUGUCUGUAAUCCCAGCUACUCGGGAGGCUGAGGCAGGAGAAUUGCCUGAACCCAGGAGGCGGAGGUUGCAGUGAGCUGAGAUUGCGCCAUUGCACUCCAGCCUGGGUAACGAGAGCGAAACUCCUUCUCAAAAAAAAAAAAAGAAAGAAAUUCUGGUUUCUAUGGCAAGCCUCAGGCAAGAAUGAGACUGAGAGACGGCAGAGCAGGAGAAGGUCAGAGAAAAACUUUUGUUUCUCAGGUUCUUGCUGGAGUCCUCAUUUUAUGUAUUAUUUUCUGAGCCCCUACAGGUGUACUAAAAUUUUAUUUGUACUACCGAGUGGCAUUUCACAGAAUGGAUACGUCACAAUUUGUUCAUCUAUUGC
ensembl:lncRNA